UACAGAGGUCUCAAGCGUUGUUCGGAUUCAUUGGGCGUAAAGGGUGCGUAGGUGGCGCUGUAAGUCGGGUGUGAAAUUUCGGAGCUUAACUCCGAAACUGCAUUCGAUACUGCGGUGCUUGAGGACUGGAGAGGAGACUGGAAUUCAUGGUAUAGCAGUGAAAUGCGUAGAGAUCAUGAGGAAGACCAGUGGCGAAGGCGGGUCUCUGGACAGUUCCUGACACUGAGGCACGAAGGCCAGGGGAGCAAACGGG
rnacentral:rRNA from 1 species